UACGGGGGGGGCAAGCGUUGUUCGGAAUUACUGGGCGUAAAGCGCGCGCAGGCGGCCUUUUAAGUCUGACGGUGAAAUGCCGGGGCUCAACCCCGUGCCCGCCGGAGAUACUGGGAGGCUGGAGACGAGUAGAGGCAAGCGGAAUUCCGGGUGUAGCGGUGGAAUGCGUAGAGAUCCGGAAGAACACCGGAGGCGAAGGCGGCUUGCUGGGCUCUGUCUGACGCUGAGGCGCGAAAGCGUGGGGAGCGAACAGG
rnacentral:rRNA from 1 species